rnacentral:rRNA from 1 species
AUUGAACGCUGGCGGCAUGCCUUACACAUGCAAGUCGAGCGGCAGAAGGGAGCCUUCUACUGGGUUGCGCGUGGGGCGGGGGAGUGUUGCCUAUCGGAAUACGUCCUGGUGGGGGAUAACGUCCGGCGACGGCCGCAUUUAUACCGCACGCGCUCUACGGAUGAAAGCGGGGGACUCGCACGCCACGCUCUCAGAUGUGCCUAGAUGGCAGAUUAGCUAGUUGGUGGGGUAAAGGCCUACCAAGGCGACGAUCAGUAGCUGGUCUGAGAGGACGACCAGCCACACUGGAACUGAGACACGGUCCAGACUCCUACGGGAGGCAGCAGUGGGGAAUAUUGGACAAUGGGCGAAAGCCUGAUCCAGCCAUGCCGCGUGUGUGAAGAAGGCCUUCGGAUUGUAAAGCACUUUUGGCCGGGAGGAAGGCCAGUACGUUAAUACCGUGCUGGUAUGACGGUACCAAAAGAAUAAGCACCGGCUAACUUCGUG